rnacentral:lncRNA from 1 species
GGAGAUGGCUUAUAAUGGUGGUUGCGGCGACGAUGAUUGAUGUUAGUGAUUAAUAAUGUUGGUGGUGAUAAUUGUGAUAGUUGGUUUGUAGUGACUGUUAUGAUGGUGGUGAUUGAUGGUGGUGGUGGUGGUUGUGAUGUGACAUUGCUUGAUAUUAGUAGUUUAAGGUGUUGAUUGUGUUGGCUAAAACAUGGAUGCAUGAUGAUUGAUGAUAUGUUGGUGCUAGUUGGAGAUGUUAUUUGUUGUGAUGGUGGAGAUGGUUGUUAGUAGAGAUAAAUUGUAGCGAUGGUACUAGUUGAAGUGAUGGUAGAGGUGGCGUUACCAGUGGCAAUGGUAGUAGCGGCCAAAUAAUGUGUUGUGAUGUAUUAGUAGUAGUUAGUGCGGUGCUAGUUGUGAUAGAUGAGUUGGUGGUAGUAGGGAUUGACCGACAGUGGUUGCUGAUUGUGGUGUUGUUGACGGCAGUGGUGGUGGUGAAUAUAAUAAGAAUAAAUACAGUAGUAGGUGUGGUAAUGGUUGACAACUGUGGUUGGUAGCGGUAUUUUUUGUCGAUGGUGGUUGUGAUGGUGGAGGUGGUUGGUGGUGGUAGUUUAUAAUGGUGACGGUGG